CCAAGCGUUAGGCGGAAUCACUGGGCUUAAAGCGUGAGUAGGCGGGCGAUCAAGCACCUUGUGAAAUCCCACGGCUCAACCGUGGAACUGCUGGGUAUACUGGUUGUCUUGAGCCAGCUAGGGGCGAGCGGAACAGACGGUGGAGCGGUGAAAUGCGUAGAUAUCGUCUGGAACGCCGAAGGUGAAAACAGCUCGCUGGGGCUGCGCUGACGCUGAGACACGAAAGCCAGGGGAGCGAACGGG
rnacentral:rRNA from 1 species